UACGAAGGGGGCUAGCGUUGUUCGGAAUCACUGGGCGUAAAGGGCGCGUAGGCGGCUUUGUAAGUCGGGGGUGAAAGCCUGUGGCUCAACCACAGAAUGGCCUUCGAUACUGGGACGCUUGAGUAUGGUAGAGGUUGGUGGAACUGCGAGUGUAGAGGUGAAAUUCGUAGAUAUUCGCAAGAACACCGGUGGCGAAGGCGGCCAACUGGACCAUUACUGACGCUGAGGCGCGAAAGCGUGGGGAGCAAACAGG
rnacentral:rRNA from 1 species